GACGAACGCUGGCGGCGUGCUUAACACAUGCAAGUCGAGCGGUAUGGCCCUUUUCGGGGGUACACGAGCGGCGAACGGGUGAGUAACACGUGGGUGACCUGCCCUCAGCUCUGGGAUAAGCCUGGGAAACCGGGUCUAAUACUGGAUAUGACUCCAUGACGCAUGUUGUGGGNGGAAAGCCUUGUGCGGCUGAGGAUGGGCCCGCGGCCUAUCA
rnacentral:rRNA from 1 species